rnacentral:rRNA from 1 species
GAUGAACGCUGGCGGCGUGCCUAAUACAUGCAAGUCGAGCGAACAGACGAGGAGCUUGCUCCUCUGACGUUAGCGGCGGACGGGUGAGUAACACGUGGAUAACCUACCUAUAAGACUGGGAUAACUUCGGGAAACCGGAGCUAAUACCGGAUAAUAUAUUGAACCGCAUGGUUCAAUAGUGAAAGACGGUUUUGCUGUCACUUAUAGAUGGAUCCGCGCCGCAUUAGCUAGUUGGUAAGGUAACGGCUUACCAAGGCAACGAUGCGUAGCCGACCUGAGAGGGGGGUCGGCCAAACAGGAAAUGGAAAACGGUCCCGAAUCCUAAGGGAGGGCGCAGUAGGGGAACUUCCGCAAUGGGCGAAAGCCUGACGGAGGAACGCCGCGUGAGUGAAGGAAGUCUUCCGGUCGGAAAACCCUUUUAUUAGGGAAAAAAAAAUGUGUAAGGAAACGAGCCCCUCUUGACGGUACCUAAUAAGAAAGCCCCGGCUAAAUACGUG